rnacentral:rRNA from 1 species
CGGUACCUUCCAAGAAAGCCCCGGAAAAUUACGUGCCAGCAGCCGCUGUUAUACGUAGGGGGCAAGCGUUACUCGGAUUCACUGGGCGUAAAGCGCGUGUAGGCGGCUGGUCAAGCUUGAUGUGAAAUCUCCGGGCUCAACCCGGAAACUGCAUCGCGAACUGGCCUGGCUGGAGUGCAGGAGAGGGAUGUGGAAUUCCCGGUGUAGCGGUGAAGUGCGUAGAUAUCGGGAGGAACACCAGUGGCGAAGGCGACAUCCUGGCCUGUAACUGACGCUGAGACGCGAAAGCGUGGGGAGCAAACCGGAUUAGAUACCCGGGUAGUCCACGCCCUAAACGUUGCGAACUAGGUGUUGGUGGGAUUGACCCCAUCAGUGCCGCAGCUAACGCAUUAAGUUCGCCGCCUGGGAAGUACGGUCGCAAGAUUAAAACUCAAAGGAAUAGGCGGGGGCCCGCACAAGCAGCGGAGCGUGUGGUUUAAUUCGAGGCUACGCGAAGAACCUUACCUGGGCUUGACAUGCUUCGGAAAACCUGGUGAAAGCCAGGUCCUCCCGCAAGGGACCGAUGCACAGGUGGUGCAUGGCUGUCGUCAGCUCGUGCCGUGAGGUGUUGGGUUAAGUCCCGCAACGAGCGCAACCCCUGUCCUUAGUUGAAUGCUCUAGGGAGACUGCCGGGCGAAACCCGGAGGAAGGUGGGGAUGAUGUCAAGUCAGCAUGCCCUUUAUGUCCAGGGCUACACACACGCUACAAUGGCCGGUACAACGGGCUCCGACACGGCGACGUGAAGGUAAUCCCUUAAAACCGGUCUCAGUUCGGAUUGCAGGCUGCAACUCGCCUGCAUGAAGUCGGAGUUGCUAGUAACCGCCGGUCAGCACACGGCGGUGAAUACGUUCCCGGGCCUUGCACUCACCGCCCGUCACACCACCCGAGUCUGGUGCUCCCGAAGUCGCUGGCCGAACCCGCAAGGGACGGAGGUGCCGAAGGAGUGCCCGGUGAGGGGGGUGAAGUCGUAACAAGGUAGCCGUACCGGAAGGUGUGGCUGGAUCACCU